CAUGCUAAUCAAUGAAAAUCACAGGCAGGUGACUUUGAUCAGGGUUGGAGCCAAACUCUGCACUGCAUUGGACCCUCCAGAGCAAGAUUUGAAUAGCCCUGCUGUAUACUGUGACAGAGCUUUACAAGCACUAUAGCAGCAAAAAUUUCACCAAGUUAAUAAAUUGUAGCAAACAUGAUGGCAACUGUGGCAUGGUAGAUUUUUGAUGAGGAGUUUUAGAGGUUAGACCACAAGAUUUACAUGGAUUACUUUAAUGAUGUCUUUCCUACCAGUCUGGACCUUAAAUAUGGAAGUUGUGUUGCUGCCAAUGACGUAACAGAAGAUGAACAAAGGUCCUACAGGUGUGGAUCGAUAUGAGAUGGUCUGGAAAGAAGAGAGAAAACCAUGUGUGAAGAGAGAAAACCACGCCGACAUUCACCUGAUCCCAGAUGUCCAGCAACAUCACGUCAUCCUCAUCCAGGUCAUCUUGGUUAAAGUUUGUAAUCUCUGUUGCUAUAAAGCGACCUGUCUGGUUGGAGCACUCAAACAACCGGGGCGUGAUACUGCAGCUCUCCUCCUGAAGUCUGAAGAAAAGAAGAAAUGCAUGAGCUGUGUCCUAAAACUUGUAAACUGUCUGUGAAGGCAGCAUUGCAUAUAUCCUUUGCAAGGAAUGCAAUGCCAAAAUGCAUUCUCCAAUAUCAAACCCUCUUGAAAUCAAUUGUAUUUAUCACUCUCCUGUGUUCUUCAUUUGAGGAGCGCUAUAGAGUACAACAGUUGCCACCCACUUUUUCUGCAAUGUUGUUUCCAGAAGUAUUUUUUCCAUUCACGUUUCGAGUUGGAAUUUUAGAAAGUAUUUAUUAAAGCAUGAUAUGCCAUGAACCAAA